UUAAAAUUUUAAUUAAUAAUUAUAACAAACUUGUUAUAGAAUAUGUGAGAAGUAUAAACGAAUUUUAUGCUAUAUUUGCUCAAAUAGAAAACAUCGUUAGGAUGUGAUGACUUACCAUUUGUGUGUACUUACUCUGCUACAUCUCGAAUAUCUUUUUGGAAAGUUACUGAAUCAAUCACAUAGACAAGUCCUUUUGCAGAUAAUUUGAAUUGAUCAAAAAAUUUAUAA